AAAUAACGCAGUUUUGCUAAUUUUUUUCUAAUAUUUAACCGUUCAUCUUAUUUAAAAUUUUUUAUGAUUAAUAUUUCAUUAUUACUAGAUGAUAAAAUAUAAAUAGUACUUUAAGUGUGAUUAAUUUUUAUUAAUUUUUUAAAUAAGACGGACAGUUAAACGUUGAAUACGGAAACUCACGACUGCACUUAAA
rfam:Oryza punctata chromosome 11, whole genome shotgun sequence.